rnacentral:rRNA from 1 species
AUUGAACGCUGGCGGCAGGCCUAACACAUGCAAGUCGAACGGUAACAGAAAGCAGCUUGCUGCUUUGCUGACGAGUGGCGGACGGGUGAGUAAUGUCUGGGAAACUGCCUGAUGGAGGGGGAUAACUACUGGAAACGGUAGCUAAUACCGCAUAACGUCGCAAGACCAAAGAGGGGGACCUUCGGGCCUCUUGCCAUCGGAUGUGCCCAGAUGGGAUUAGCUUGUUGGUGGGGUAACGGCUCACCAAGGCGACGAUCCCUAGCUGGUCUGAGAGGAUGACCAGCCACACUGGAACUGAGACACGGUCCAGACUCCUACGGGAGGCAGCAGUGGGGAAUAUUGCACAAUGGGCGCAAGCCUGAUGCAGCCAUGCCGCGUGUAUGAAGAAGGCCUUCGGGUUGUAAAGUACUUUCAGCGGGGGGGAAGGGAGUAAAGUUAAUACCUUUGCUCAUUGACGUUACCCGCAGAAGAAGCACCGGCUAACUCCGUG